rnacentral:lncRNA from 1 species
UCUGGAAUCAUUAUCGUGUUAAUAACAUUUAUUUAAAAUUUUUCAAUACAUAUAGUUCCUUAAAAAUAACAAUGAAGGUAAUUAGCACAAAAUAUCCAUACCUUUUAAUAUUACUAUAUAAAAUGUCUUUAUCUUUCUUUUUUUUUUUUGGCAUUUUCACAUUUACUCCCACAUUUCAUUGUGGAAAUUAUCAUUUUUAUUCAUUUUUCAAUUAAAAGUUGUGAAAUGACAAAUAUAUCCUCCUAUUUAAGAAACAAAAAGAAAAAAAAAUAAAGAAUUAAUUAGAACAAUAGUUCCAAACUUUCAAAAGAUUACAAAUUUAUCACAAACAUAUUAUUAAAAAUCAAAACUAAAAAAGACAAAAAUGACUUCAUCUUCUUCUUCGUCCUUCACCACUACCUAACCAUCCAUUCACUCCGCUUCUUCAACUCUAAACCCCAUAUCUAUUUUUGAUUUUCUCUUCUACCUAUUAUUAGAAGCAUCAUUUUCAGUGCUAGGUGAAGAAGAACCGUAGAAGCUAGAGUUUGAGGAUGAAGGGAAACAGAAAAAGCCCAAAUACGAUAUUAAACACAAGAUACAACAGAUCUAUAUCACAACACAAAUUAAAACUUGCAGAAAUUAAAAAUGAACAUAGAGAAUUUUUUGGCCAUAGCCCUAGAGGUUCUGUAACCCUUUUAACAUCUAAUCCCCUGUUGAGCAUCCACUAAAAUGGAUAUAGCUCGAUUGUACUAUAGAGCUUUAACAUCGGCAACAAAGGUUAGAUGAAUAUUUGGAUACAGUUUCAGAGACUUAUCUCUAUCACAAACCAAUAACAAAUCUGCCAGGAAUCACAUAGGAAAUCCCAUAUCUUCUCUGAAAAAAUACAACAUAAAGAACCCUCUUGGUUUUUUUUUUCACUGAAGAAAAUACAAGAAUCAAAGGCUAGAAAACAUUAGAACAAAAUCUCAAAUGAGAUGUUCAAGAGAAAGAAUCACAUAUUGAAAAGCCAAGCCAACGAGAGUUCGAAACCUCUCUAGAACUCUCUCCCUAACCCAAAUGAAGAAUAUCAUCCGUCGUGUAAAUGAAUCGGUAGACAACCAAUAUAACCAAGCCAAAAACGUGUCCAAUCUAACGGUUUUAGCUUGGACGAGUGUCUUCAUCUGGUUAAGUCUUCCCACUUAAGAAAACGAGUUUUGAUAAUAUGAUUUUUUCCUUUUGAAAAUUAGGGGGCACAUCCAAGGUUCGAUUCUCAACAAAAACUCUACAAGAAAAGCAUAGAGCUUGCAGCGGUAAUGUUUUCAUACUAUAUUGUACCACCACGCCAGUCCACGGUUGAGUUUGUAGCUAUUCAUCACCCCCGAGACUGGCCUGAAUUUGGCACCAAUGGUGACAAGACCUUGACUGCCAAUUUUGGGAACCAGUAGAAGACAUUAGUAUUACCAAUUGUACCAAAUUUCUCUAGUUGUUUUUUUAUUCUCACGGCUAUCUCUAUGAGAACUAACAGAUGCUUCUAAAAAUUGUGUCCAGAGGUAAAAU